rnacentral:lncRNA from 1 species
CUGGGAUACUGAGUCCCCUUGCUGGAGGCAAGAAUGCCUUCCUGUUGUAUUAGAUGGCAUCAGUCAGGUGUUUGCUGAUCUCCUGGGCUGGCUCUGAAAACCAUGGUCAUGGUCAAAGGGCUAAACUGGCCAGGGAGGAACAUUUUGAAGUUCAGCACAGGCAAGUGCAGGGUCCUUCAGCUGUGGAACGAGCCGGGCAGCAGCCCAGGCCGGGCUGCGGCUGGAAAAGCAGCUCUGUGGGAAGGAGCUGGGGGUGCUGGUGCACAGGAGCUGUCCGUGGGCACCACAAGGGCGCCGGUGUCCCGGGGGGAUGAGGAGAGCGUUUCCAGCGGGGCAGGGGUGAUGCUGCCCCUCUGCUCAGCCCCGGCCAGGCCUCCCCUGGAGCAGUGUCCGGGUCUGGGCUCCUCGGCAUGAGGGACACGGAGCUCCCGGAGCGGGUCCUGUGCAGGGCCACCAGGAUGGUCCGGGGACGGCAGCAUCUGUCCUGGGAAAGGCUGGGGGUGCUGGGGCUGUUCAUUCCACAGAAAGGGAACCAAGGGAGGGUGAUGCUGAGCAUCUUGGGAGUGGGGGGGAUCUGUGCCUCAGUUUCCCCAAGAAGAGCUGGGCUGGGAGGCUGGCUUGGGAAUCCUGAAUGCAGCCCAGUUUGGUAGCCAGCCCAUCCUCUCCUUCUCAGUCUGCCAUGAAGGAGAUGAUGCAGGGCGGACAAGGCUCAGACAAGCAGAAGAAUGUUGGCCUCAGGCACCUAGACUCGAAUGAAGACACAGAGCUGAUUGUCAUCGGCAACGAAAGUACCUCUGGGCACAGCUGGGGAGGGACCUGGAGGGUGUGAGGGCACAGCGGGCCGGGCACGGGGUCUGCAGGCUGCUGGUUGUCCCCCAGCCAUGUUCCCCCUGGCUCCCCUGACCCUGGGCAGCUCCCUCUGGUUUCUUCUUCCAGUUAUCCUUGUGGAAAAGCCCAGGACACCAAGGCAUGGGGAGAGCCCUCUGCCCCUCGAUGCCAAGGCACAGGGCAGAGGGAAGGAGGUGAAUGUGAGCAGCGACCUGGUCUCCACCACGGAAAAUGACACAGGCCAGAGCGUGGAACAGAGCGACAUGGGACAGAACAGGGGACGCAGUGGCAUGGCACGGAGGGGCAUGGGAUGGAGUAUGGGACAGGAUUACAUGGGACAGAGCGUGGGACAGAGGGACAUGAGACGAAAUGUGCAAUGGAGCGACGCAGAACAGAGUGACAUGGGGCAGGAUGGCAUGGGACAGAUCAAGGAUGAAGAGAUCGAGAUACGCGUCUCUACGGUAGAGGCUUUUCCCAGCCCCCUGGAUAGUCCCUCUGAGAUGACCAGCAUGGAGGAGAUCAAGGAAGAAGACACCAAGAUGAGCAUCUCCAAGGCUCCUCCCCACGUUCAGAAAAAGAGUUUGGAUGGCAGUUUCACCACCUCAGGAACCCAUCUGAGAGCGCCUGGCACCCACCUCCCA